GGGGAAUAUUGCGCAAUGGGGGCAACCCUGACGCAGCCAUGCCGCGUGAAUGAAGAAGGCCUUCGGGUUGUAAAGUUCUUUCGGUAGCGAGGAAGGCACUUAGUUUAAUAGACUAAGUGAUUGACGUUAACUACAGAAGAAGCACCGGCUAACUCCGUGCCAGCAGCCGCGGUAAUACGGAGGGUGCGAGCGUUAAUCGGAAUAACUGGGCGUAAAGGGCACGCAGGCGGACUUUUAAGUGAGGUGUGAAAGCCCCGGGCUUAACCUGGGAAUUGCAUUUCAGACUGGGAGUCUAGAGUACUUUAGGGAGGGGUAGAAUUCCACGUGUAGCGGUGAAAUGCGUAGAGAUGUGGAGGAAUACCGAAGGCGAAGGCAGCCCCUUGGGAAUGUACUGACGCUCAUGUGCGAAAGCGUGGGGAGCAAACAGGAUUAGAUACCCUGGUAGUCCACGCUGUAAACGAUGUCGAUUUGGGGGUUGAACUUUAAGUUUGGCGCCCGUAGCUAACGUGAUAAAUCGACCGCCUGGGGAGUACGGCCGCAAGGUUA
rnacentral:rRNA from 1 species